rnacentral:sRNA from 1 species
AUGUACCACUCGUACAGUCCGGUUCCUGUGCGCCGUCCACGCCCACCUGACGACCUCUCACUCAGUUUUGUUAGCC